rnacentral:rRNA from 1 species
CCAAUAGCGUAUAUUAAAGUUGCUGCAGUUAAAAAGCUCGUAGUUGAAUUUCGGGACUAAUAUGUCGGUCGUGCCUCGGUACGUACUGGUAUUUUUGGUUUCUCCCUUCUGACGAACCUCGAUGUCAUUAAUUUGGUGUCUUGGGAAAUCAGGACUGUUACUUUGAAAAAAUUAGAGUGUUUAAAGCAGGCUCACGCUUGAAUACAUUAGCAUGGAAUAAUGAAAUAGGACGUUUGAUUCUAUUUUGUUGGUUUCUAGGAUCGACGUAAUGAUUAAUAGGGAUAGUUGGGGGCAUUAGUAUUCAAUUGUCAGAGGUGAAAUUCUUGGAUUUAUUGAAGACUAACUACUGCGAAAGCAUUUGCCAAGGAUGUUUUCAUUAAUCAAGAACGAAAGUUAGGGGAUCGAAGACGAUCAGAUACCGUCGUAGUCUUAACCAUAAACUAUGCCGACUAGGGAUCGGAUGAUGUUAAUUUUUUAAUGACUCAUUCGGCGCCUUACG